rnacentral:misc_RNA from 1 species
GUGGGGUUUGACUCCACGAAGGGGAAGCCGGUGCCGGGGAAUGAUAUGAGUGCGGUGCGGGUGGUGACGAAGAGGCAGCCGAGGCAGUACAUGAAUCGGAGGGGUGGGUUCAACCGCCCACUCCCGGCGGAGCUCAAUCGUUGAAUCCUUGGAUAGGUCAGCUCUCUAUGGUUGCUCGAGCUUGUUCUUUCGUCUUAAUUUUGCUACUAUAGAAGCAAUCCUUUUGAAAUGCAUGAUACAGAUUUUAGUCUAUU